rnacentral:misc_RNA from 1 species
UUGAAUAAACUUGGUUGGGUUGUGCUGGCUUUUCGGAGCAUGUGCACGCCUAGCGCCAUUUUUACCACCUGUGCACAUUUUGUAGAUUUGGAACAAUUCUCGAGUUUACUCGGUUUGAGGAAUGCUAUGCCAAAAGCUUAGCUUUCCUUGUGUUUCAAGUCUAUGUUUUUAUAUACCCCAUACGAAUGUAAUAGAAUGUCAUUAAUGGGCUUAUAGCCUUUAAAUUAAUA